CGUGUAGGUGGCUAAUUAAGUCAGGUGUGAAAUCCUUCCGCUUAACGGAAGAAGUGCAUUUGAAACUGCUUAGCUAGAGUACGGGAGAGGAAGGUGGAAUUCCUGGUGUAGAGGUGAAAUUCAUAGAUAUCGGGAAGAACACCGGUGGCGAAGGCGGCCUUCUGGCCCGAUACUGACGCUGAGACGCGAAAGCGUGGGGAGCAAACAG
rnacentral:rRNA from 1 species